rnacentral:rRNA from 1 species
AUGAACGCUAGCUACAGGCUUAACACAUGCAAGUCGAGGGGCAGCAUGGUCUUAGCUUGCUAAGGCCGAUGGCGACCGGCGCACGGGUGAGUAACACGUAUCCAACCUGCCGUCUACUCUUGGACAGCCUUCUGAAAGGAAGAUUAAUACAAGAUGGCAUCAUGAGUCCGCAUGUUCACAUGAUUAAAGGUAUUCCGGUAGACGAUGGGGAUGCGUUCCAUUAGAUAGUAGGCGGGGUAACGGCCCACCUAGUCUUCGAUGGAUAGGGGUUCUGAGAGGAAGGUCCCCCACAUUGGAACUGAGACACGGUCCAAACUCCUACGGGAGGCAGCAGUGAGGAAUAUUGGUCAAUGGGCGAAGGCCUGAACCAGCCAAGUAGCGUGAAGGAUGACUGCCCUAUGGGUUGUAAACUUCUUUUAUAAAGGAAUAAAGUCGGGUAUGUAUACCCGUUUGCAUGUACUUUAUGAAUAAGGAUCGGCUAACUCCGUG